GCACGGAGAGCGAGGGGGACCGAGGCUGCCGUGCCGAAGGGGGUGAGCCGGAGCUGCGGAGACGGGGAAGCACCCGCGAGGCCAUGAAGGAAGAACCUGACGGGGCAUCCGACAGCGGCGGGCCCACGGAGGAGCUGCAGCUUACUCUGACGUCCAAAGCGGCAGCAGAAGCGCUGCCCAGGCCCUGGGCUUUCCUGCCGCAGCGCUACUGGCUUCUCCUGUGGCUGCUUUUCCUGGGGAUCACCUGCCUCGCGCUGAUGUGGAUUUUGGAGCUGCAGAAGCAGCAGCCACCCGCAAGCCCCAAGUGGUAGGGAGGAGGAGGAAGCCUGGAGAGGGGCAGCCUGGUAGCACCCACUUACUUUUGGAAAUGAAAUAAAAUA